AGUGGGGAAUAUUGCACAAUGGGCGCAAGCCUGAUGCAGCCAUGCCGCGUGUAUGAAGAAGGCCUUCGGGUUGUAAAGUACUUUCAGCAGUGAGGAAGGUUCAUACGUUAAUAGCGUAUGGAUUUGACGUUAGCUGCAGAAGAAGCACCGGCUAACUCCGUGCCAGCAGCCGCGGUAAUACGGAGGGUGCGAGCGUUAAUCGGAAUUACUGGGCGUAAAGCGCAUGCAGGUGGUUUGUUAAGUCAGAUGUGAAAGCCCGGGGCUCAACCUCGGAACUGCAUUUGAAACUGGCAAACUAGAGUACUGUAGAGGGGGGUAGAAUUUCAGGUGUAGCGGUGAAAUGCGUAGAGAUCUGAAGGAAUACCAGUGGCGAAGGCGGCCCCCUGGACAGAUACUGACACUCAGAUGCGAAAGCGUGGGGAGCAAA
rnacentral:rRNA from 1 species